ensembl:lncRNA
UGGAUGAUCUUGGAGGUCUUUUCCAACCUUGGUGAUUCUGUGAUUCUACAGCUCUUCCCUGUGUUUUGUUUUAGGUGUUUUGUUCCAGUGUCCUCUGCAGAAUGUGAACCUUCCAGAUGCUGAACCAUGGGGUUGGGGCUGCUCCUGACUUACAGUCUCCUGCAAGGCUCGGUAAGCACUCCCAGCACAGAGCACCGAGCGCUUCAAGGCAAAGCUGGUCUCCAUGGGAAUAGAGGACAAACUAAAAAUAACUGUUCAGAUGACAUCUUCACAGUUUUGCAGGAGAUACUGUCAUGGCAAUGGAAAGAGUUGUAACCUGUUGUCAUGAUAACUGAAGUUUGAAAUUAAUGGGAAAGCAUUCUGCUUCCAUAUUUAUUCAUUGUGGGGCUAACACUCAGGGUUACAUACUGCUGCCCUGGAGGAAUUGCUGGAGAAAUUAAUGGGACCAAGCUCGUUAGGCCUUGCUAUCACUGGCUCUUCCCUCUUUCACUACUGCCAAUUAUUUAUUUUCAGAGGUUUCAGCACAUUUUGAAACUUUGUAAAGAUUUUACUUCAUUUGGAGAUGCUGUCAAACAUUACUCUGGGCUGAUGGUGGCAGAGCAACACGCCGGGGGCUGGCUGCUGGUUUUAAUAGGGACCAAAACACAGCCUGAUGGAAGGGGCACUGUCCUGCCUCUGCUAAUACACCCACAUGCUUAAUGCACAAAUUGUUGGUGUUCCCACUGUUGUAAUGUCUAACUCAGGGCACAGGCUGCCAGUAAAGCUGGUAUGGAUUUCACAGGAUCAUGAAGGUUGGAAGAGACCUCAGAUAUCCUCAAGAUACCCAAAGCAGGGAAGGAAACAGCUGAGGGAAUAAGACAUCCAGACGGAGAAGAAAAGGGGUGGCAAGUCAACUGGAUGUGCUGUCUGAUGAUAGGAGGAAGAGGAGAAAGAUCUCAAUCACCAUCAGCUCCUAAAAGGCACAAAUGGCCCACUCCAAAUCUGCUCGCCUUUGCCAAUCCAGGGGAACCCAGGAGACAGGUCAUGGUGCUGUACAUACAGAUGGACCUCUGUGCUGCGUCGCAUGGCGUGGAGAAAUCACUGUGUGCCAGGAGAGGAGAAAAAUUCAAUAUUUAAUCUGCAAACACGCCUGCAGAAGGCAAGCCACUACAUUUUCAUUUAUGAUUUUCAGCCUACAAAAAUACAACAGCAUAUACUGAAGUGCUUCUCUGCUGCUCCUGACAUAAAUAACAAAAGUGGAGGUGAGGAGAAAAUAUUAUGUGUGUGGGGCAGAGUGGAGGGCAGCACCUGAGCUGUGUUAUCAGAGAGAGAAGCAAAUGGGGAUACGAAUUGGACUGCAAACUCCCCAGGGUGGUGGGCACAGAUCUGAGAUCAGGGAGCAAUGGGACACAGCUCUGAUGCAGGGCUGGGGCUGGGGGUGAUGUGUGGGGCCGGGGUUGGGCAAAGUGAUCCCUGUGGGUCCCUUCCAGCUCGAGGUUCUAUGAAGGGGAGGGAAUUCCCUGAAACAAUCUCUUUUUAAAGGAGCUUCCCAGCAGGAACUACAUCCAAUUGAGUGAUCUUCUCAACUGAUCCUCUCAGCUGUGUCCAGAUGUGGAGUCCUCAGUGCAGGAGAGACGUGGAGCUGUUGGAGAGCAUCCAGAGGAGGGCCACAAAAAUGAUGCCAAGGAUGGAACAGCUCUGCUAUGAGGACAGGCUGAGAGCUGGGGCUGUGCAGAUGGAGAAGGGAAGGGCAGGCUGCGAGGUGAGCUGAGAGCAGCCUGUCAGCAUCUAAAGGGGAGCAACAGGAAAGAAGGG